CCCUAGAUUGACGUCACUCUACAACUACUUCAACUACAGUCAAUCAUGGCGAUAGAUGGAGUCAUCCUUAUGCUGCCGUUGUUUCUUUGCUGCGGAAGUUAUGGAGAUCCUCAUCGUCCCAUACAACACUGUGAAAUGACCUGCGAUACUUGCGCUAAGGGAUGGUAUGGGCCAAACUGUACCCUUGAGUGCUCAAACUGCCAAAUCGACCAAUGUGACAAAACAACAGGUGAAUGUGACAACUGCAGACAUGGUCACCAUGGCAGGAGAUGUAACGAAGUGUCCCCCACAUUGUGGAGGAAGUAGAGGCGAUGUAACCGUGAUUCGGGGAACUGUGACGACAGAUGUCUUCAGCAUUACUGGGGACCAAGGUGUGAGAGGAACUGCAGCCGAAUGUGCAAUGGUUCUGUCUGCAUACAAAAUACAGGAGAGUGCCACCCUGGGGUUGCCGAGACGGAAGCACUGGAUAUUACUGCAAUGUUAGUUGUGAAACAGGUUGUGUGAAUACCACGUGUGCGCACAUAACAAAAGCAUGUAUAGAAUGCAAGAAUUGAAAUACCCAUUCGGUGUGUGUGAAAAUAUUGGAUUGUGUAAUUCUAUGUGUGAUCAAUGUUACAAAGAAGAGAGAUGCAAAGCAACAGAGUACCUCGAAGUAAACUGACGAAUGGAACCUUGGAUGAAUCCGAAACAGACGCACCAGGAGCUGGUUCCGUGAUUGGUGCCGUGUUUGGUGUCAUCGUGGUAAUCUCACUGGUUGUCGUGGGCGUAAUAGUCUACAGAAGAUGGUAUCGUAAUCGCCGAGGUGGUCGAGAGUCACCAGGACCUGAAGCAGUCAAAAUGUCACAUACAGAGGAGAUAAGCCCACAGACUGACGCCGGAAACGAAUCAGACAAGUUUACAGUUAAGGACGCUUCGAGUUCAUCCAAUAUCUGAUGAAACAUUUCUUACACAGCCAAGAAGGUUGUGUUGAUGAAAAGUCGUGAAGUCCUUUCCUCCCUGUACGAACUUUGAUCCAACAAAGGACAGGAACAAAUUGGUCUAUGCCAGUCAGCACAUGACGAACGUCAACUCCCUCCUCGAGAAGCUCACUCCACGCCAGGGUGUCAACAGUUUCCGGGAACAUCUAGUGCAGGAUGGUGACCUGAAUGAGGCCUCUGAUAACGCUGACACGUACUGAAACUCACUCAUUCUGAUGUUCACUUGACGCUGUGUAACCAUUUGCUGACGACUGUGAUUGUAUCAAACAUUAUGAGUGAAGACAAUACGGCACUUUAUUGAUAUUAUCCAAGCCUUCAUCACGUCGAAACUUGAUUACUGCAACUCGCUGCUGUUUGGAACAUCUGAGCAUCUACUUGGCAAGCUUCAGCGUGUGCAGAACACUGCAGCGAGGGUGAUAACCCGUCACCAGAAAUACGACCACAUCACCCCUGUACUCCACCGUCUACACUGGUUGCCAGUCAGGUACAGGAUCCAGUACAAAAUACUGUUGUUAGAGUUCAAGUGUGUGAAUGGACUUGCCCCCAGCAACCUUUCAAAUCUUCUUAAAAGACACUACCCUCCCAGAUCCUUACGGUCUGGUUCCCAGUAUUUCUUGGAGGUACCAACCACACGAACAAAGACAUUUGGCGACCGUUCAUUCGCAAAAGCUGGUCCAGUAAUGUGGAACAGUCUACCUAUGCACCUGAGAUCGCAAGAGAAUCUACCAGCAUUUAAGUCACAACUGAAAACUCAUUUGUUCAGUGCUGCCUACCGAACUUGACCAAUGUCGUUCCAGACUAAUUUCCAGCGCUUUUGCGUGGCAGAUGCCAGAAACUAGCGCUAUAUAAAUAUUUGUAUGUGUGUAUGUAUGUAUGUAUAUUAAGGUUCAAUCAUUCCCAUAAGUCUGUAUGUAAGCUGAGGUAAGAUGAAACUGGGUUCAAGAAGAUUUCUCUUCCACAGCAAGGACCAUACACAUAUGUAUAUGGCUGUCUAUACUUGACCCGACUGAGACAGUCUACGUUUGGACCACUGAGGAAACAUACGCUAGCGUAAAAGUGAUGCAUCAUUCAGAAAAAAGAGUUUCUGUUAAUUAAAAAUAAUAUGAAUACAUGAGAACAUCAGUGGUCAUAUUGAAAACAAAAUCUGAUAGAAUACACGCUUUUAAAAUGACCUGUACAUAUCCACGGGGCUAGGGAUUGAGGUUAUUAUUUAUAAGACAAUAUAUGUAGACAUGCCUUGGUUUAGGAAAGACAGCUGGUAGGGCUAGAUUAAUGAAAAUUUAAACAGUUAAAAUUGAUACUUAUUUAUCACAUUGCAAUACAGACCAUUUCUGUGUAAAUGAAACACUUUCUUGAAAAAUAUAUUUUUCUAUUCGACAAUAGCGUCGCAUUCUUUCAAUAAAAAGAUUUAAUUGUGAAGAAGUUUCUCUACAUUUGCUAAUAUAAAAUAUUCUUUUAUUAUUAGAGAGAGAAUAUUGAUUCCCUAAAACAUGGUAAAGUCAAUUGUGCAGAUCGAUGCUCAUGCUGUUGAUCACUGGAUUGUCUGGUCCAGACUCGAUUAUUUACAGACCGCCGCCAUAUAUAGCCAUAUAUAAAGAUUCUAAUCCGGGUCUUCACGGGGUGUAACACUUAAUAAGUCGAAUGACGAUGUGUCGAAGUUUAAGAAACUUACAAGUAUAUAUUUACGAUGUUCGACACAAAUGUUACAUAAGGACAAAAUAAGGAAUACACAGGGACCAGGCUAUCUAUUCUCGAAACGUUCGUAGUCCUACGAACUUGUUAAGCCCAUUCUUAUCACAGUAGCUACGAUCAAAGUUACGAAUACUUAGGGCUACAAGAAUUCUGAGGGCUACGAACUUUUCGAAAAUAAGGGCCCAAGUUCUUACUUCGAAACAAUCGUUAGUUGGAUAUCUCAAAGGUCGACACAACGCUGUAAUACUGCCAUUCGAGGUUUAGCUGACAAUGAUUUCUAAACAACCAGUCAACAGGCAUCACUAAAAUUUGAGCUCCCGCAGUUAAGGUAAAUAGAGACUUCUACUCAAUCCCCUCUAUCAAAUGAAAUGUGUGCUGCCUUUGAGCCACCAUUCAAAUAUCCUUUCAUUUCAUCUGAAGCAAAUGGGAUAACAGUGCAAGAAAACUUGGUGUAGAAGUAAGUUUGUAAAGCAAACGUAUUUUGAAUGAAGAAUAAUAGGAGUUUCUUAAAGAGCGUCUGAGUGGUAUAUAUAGCUACUUGGUAUGUCAUACAGAAAUACGGUUAUACUGCGACAAGCUUGGGGGCGUAUUGUGACUAAUGAACUUCAUACAGGGAACGUGAAACCUGCACUUUACUUCUCUUUGAUAUGUUUGAAAUGGCGUCUGAUUUUAUUCCAAUGACGUAUAAUGAGCAAUGCCAUUUCCGUUGCAUUAGUAGUUGUAAAAAUGUUCGAAAUAAUGCCAUACGUCCCGGAUGUAAUGUUUGGGUUCUCCAUUCAGAUAGAUAACGAUUUUGCGCUCUUUAAUAUCGUUGCCUCAGCCCACAAACGAGACCUCCGUCAUUUUGUUAUUUUUUCUCAAUUUCGUCUACGAAUGAAAUGUAUCCUUAAUAUAGUAAGUAAAUGUAUGGAAUUUUACAGCUAUGUCACGACAGUGAA